AGAGCGAACGCUGGCGGCAGGCUUAACACAUGCAAGUCGAGCGGGCGUAGCAAUACGUCAGCGGCAGACGGGUGAGUAACGCGUGGGAACAUACCUUUUGGUUCGGAACAACACAGGGAAACUUGUGCUAAUACCGGAUAAGCCCUUACGGGGAAAGAUUUAUCGCCGAAAGAUUGGCCCGCGUCUGAUUAGCUAGUUGGUGAGGUAACGGCUCACCAAGGCGACGAUCAGUAGCUGGUCUGAGAGGAUGAUCAGCCACAUUGGGACUGAGACACGGCCCAAACUCCUACGGGAGGCAGCAGUGGGGAAUUUUCGGCAAUGGGGGAAACCCUGACCGAGCAACGCCGCGUGCAGGAGGAAGGUCUUCGGAUCGUAAACUGCUUUUCUGUGGGAAGAGAACGGACGGUACCACAGGAAGAAGCCCCGGCUAACUACGUGCUAGCAGCCGC
rnacentral:rRNA from 1 species